ensembl:lncRNA
UUUACUCCAAAAGCUAAAUUGCAAUGGAAAAUGUUCAAGAAGAAUCACUUCAUGCUAAAUCCCUCUAAUAGAGAUCUUAGUUCCCCAGUCAGGGAUCCAACUGAUGCCCCCUACAGUGGAAGUGUGGAGUCCUAACCACUGGACCACCAGGGAAUUCCCCUGCCUGUCCUUGUGGAACUUACAUUUUUGUAAAGCUGGACAGAACUGUGGUGCUGGAGAAGAUGAAUAUCAGGUCAGUCAAUCCUAAAGGAAAUUAACCCUGAAUACUCAUUGGAAGGACUGAUGCUGAAGCUCCAAUACUUUGGCCACCUAACAUGAAGAACUGACUUACUGGAAAAGACCCUGAUUCUGGGAAAGAUUGAGGGGAGGAAGAGAAGGGGGCAACAGAGGAUGAGAUGGUUGAAUAGCAUCAUCAACUCAAUGGAUAUGAGUUUGAGCAAACUCUGGGAGAUAAUGAAGUAUAGGGAAGCCUGGAGUGCUGCAGUCUUAUGGGGUCACAAAGAGUUGGACAUGACUAAGCGACUGAACAACAGCAGCAAGACAGACAAUAAACAAAAUGAUAUAAACUGUAAACAAUACAGUUUCUUAGAAGGUGAAAAGUGCUUUCAGUAAAAGAAAAAAAUAGAUAUGGCAAAGUGAAUCAUGUCAAGAAUAUCAGAAAAAGUUGAAAUAUGAUAGUUCUAUUUCUUCUAAAAUUGUGGAUAAUAAUAUUUACCAUUGCUGUAAAUAAUUAUUGUGAUACUACUUGUACUUUGUACCAUGCCUAACAUACUUAACAGUGGACAAUAAAAGCUCUGCUUCACAUCAUCUUUACUCCAGGAUCCAGGUCUUCUAACUGAAAUAUUGCCAGUUUUUAUGUAUGAGGGAAAAGAAGCAGGCAAACCACUCACUGGCUCUUAAACCUUUUGCCCAGAAGCCACAAAUGUCACCAGUUUUAUUAGACCAUAUCACAUGGUGUGAUGGUUUUCAAAAUAUGUCCACAAAUUCUUUGACGAGUGAAGUCUAAUUCCUCUGCCCUUGUGUGUGAGAUAAACUUAGUUUCUUGCUUCUGACAAGUACAUGAUGACAGAAGUAAUGAUGUGUGACUUCCAAGACAAGGUCUAAAGGGCAGUACAGUUUCUCUCUUGGUCUACUCACUCUGAAAGAAGCCAGCUACCAUGCCAUGAGGACACUCAAGUACCCAAAAG